CUUUAACCUCCUUCUUCAAUCUGAGUUAAAGACUAAGACGUGGAAUAUAAGAAAGCAUGAAGAAGCUUCCAGAAUGGGAUAACUUCUGUGAAAAGCAGGAUCCUGUUGGAAUGGUCACCAACACAUCUGAAGGUGUAAGUUUUCUAUUUAAGACAAGAAGUUACCAUUGUCUUUUAAAAAAUAAAGAUCUUAUCACAUUUCAAUUACAUCAUCCAAGAAAAUAGAUCGUCCUGGAAAAUAAAAGUUGCUAGCCUCUGCUAAAGCUGGGAUUUUCAGGAACAAAAGCAGGAGCACAGGUCAAGUGGGAUUUCCAGGGCCCUAUCUUAGCAAGACAGGUGGAAGCAACAAACCACAGGUCGUCAUUGGAAGAAGUGUGUGAGGUUUAUGAAGUUUUAUUUGAUGUAGUACAUGUUCAAAUAUUUAUAACACUAUAUACUUAUUUCUAUAGAUACAUAUGUAUGUAUCUCCUGUUUGUUUUCAUCAGAGAGAUUCAGAGGACAGCCCUCCAAAUAAAGAGUCUUGUGCUUGUUUAAUGAAACAUCAAAGAAGCACCUGGAGAGACCACAGGAUCAUGAAUUAGGACUCAGAGCUCCACAUUCUCCAGAAGCGAUAAAGGCCAUGUCACUUAAUCCCUUUGCUGGGUCUUGACCAGCCUUGGGAGGGCAGCUUCAAAGACCGAAGUGGUGCAGAGCCCUGGCCCGACUGGAUCCCGUCCCCUUAUGUUUCCAUGCUUCCCCGCUUUUGAUGAUGCUACUGCGCUGGGAGCAGGAACUGAAGGCGGGUGCUCUGACACUCAGAGACACAUCUCUCAACACAAGAAGUAGGAGAAAGGGUUCAAUCGUCUUAGCAGGAACUGGAGAUGUGUGCACAAGAUGCACUGCUCAGCGUGUCUGGGAGCCCCAGAGCUGCCGCAAGAGGAUAGGCAGCCCACGGAUGGAGAAAUGAUUUUAAGGAGAAGAGACCGUGGGCCUGUAAAUGCAAGUAGCUGCCAUUUAUGGAGCAUUCGUCUGCUCUUUGAAUUCCCGCGAGAACCAGCGCCCACGCACGGUGCAACAGAAGUGAGAGGGACUCUUCUGCAAAGCUGUGCUUUUGAAAUCGCUCUUUCAGCAGUCAUUCCAUAUUGCCGUGCUGGGUCUGGAGAGGCAGAACCAUAUUAGAAUUCCACGAAAAACCUUUCGGAUAGAAUUCAGGGUGAGUAGCUUAUCGUCACUACUAUAUUCUUAAUAAGCUGUUAGCUAGGGAUCAUUUCUAAGUGUAGGACCAAUUUGCCUUUAAACCAUCAAUAUAAACAUGUUGGUGCUCAUAGAACAUGGCCCCUUACUGAAAAGAGAGAAUGCCUCUUUGCAAGGCUGAAUUUAAUUCCCAAAAUGGGACAAAACUGUGAACCUGAAAAACUGCUAUUAAUGAAUGGGGUACAUCCUAAUUUUGAGGAAUUUUGGAAUCAUAUUUGUAGAAGAGUCAGAAGAGAUUCUUCUUGUAGUGACGUGAAUACCUAGGAGGUUAAUUAACCUAAGUAAUUGUAAAGCCUCUUGGGGGAAAAGCAACAAAGAUCUACUGUUGGAAGGGAAAUUAAUCAGGCCAUAUCUGCACGGGAUUGUCAGUGGCCACAGAAACCUGUCUUGAGAAUUGACUGCAUCUCAGACCCUGGGCUAUCUGGCAUGAGGGCACACCCACCCAGAAACGUCCAGCAGACUCCUGUGCUGCCAGACGGGGAGAGAAGUUUUCCAGGACUGACAUUUCUGCAGUGAUUGUCAUUUAUUUUCUUCACUGUCGUGAUCUGUCUCUCUCCCCCAUACUUCUCACCUUCAGGAAAAUUUUAGAAGUUGCUGGUUCCCUCAUAGAUUCUGCAAAUAUAAAGUUGUCCUCUAAAAU
rnacentral:lncRNA from 1 species